AGGGCACCACCAGGAGUGGAGCCUGCGGCUUAAUUUGACUCAACACGGGAAAACUCACCCGGCCCGGACACUGGAAGGAUUGACAGAUUGAGAGCUCUUUCUUGAUUCAGUGGGUGGUGGUGCAUGGCCGUUCUUAGUUGGUGGAGCGAUUUGUCUGGUUAAUUCCGAUAACGAACGAGACUCUAGCCUAUUAAAUAGGCUCCCGGCUUUUAAACGCCGGGAGGACUUCUUAGAGGGACAGGUGGCGGUUCAGCCGCACGAAAGAGAGCAAUAACAGGUCUGUGAUGCCCUUUGUCGUCCGGGGCCGCACGCGCGCUACACUGAAGAGAUCAGCGUGCUUUACGUUCCUGCUCCGACCGGAGUGGGGAACCCAGUGAACCUUCUUCGUGAUUGGGAUAGAAGAUUGUAAUUAUUCUUCUUGAACGAGGAAUUCCCAGUAAAUGCGAGUCAUAAGCUCGCGUUGAUUACGUCCCUGCCCUUUGUACACACCGCCCGUCGCUACUACCGAUUGAACGAUUU
rnacentral:rRNA from 1 species